GUGCUUGCUUUGGCAGCACAUAUACAAAAAUUGGAACAAUACGGAGAGGAUUAGCAUGACCCCUGUGCAAGAAUGGCACACAAAUUCAUGAAGCGUUCCAUAUUUUU
ensembl:snRNA U6 U6 spliceosomal RNA